AUGGGUUUGAUUUCUGCACAAAGGAAGAUUUAUUGCUUUCAAGUCUUUGUGAUUUGGUCAGCUUCCUUGUGGGGUGGUCUGCAGGGAGUGUCUACUCAGCCCCGCAGGUGGUCCUUGGACACCCUGAGCCAGUCGGGUGCACGUGAGUCUCCCCAGGCUUGGCCACCAUACCUCUCUCCAUCCUCCAGGAAUACCAUCUCAUCGGAAAUGUGCGGUCCAGACUCCCCCAUGCUCCUGAUCUCCGUGUUCCGUCGCUGUUCUUGUUUUCAUGUGGACACGCCAAGCGUAUGAAAAAUGGUGACGGUGGUGGGUGUUCUUUUGGUAUCAAGGGAGCUGUCCUGGACAGCCAACUGCAAAACAACCCCCGUUUAUAGCAGAGGCUUGGCUGCCAAGUUUCCUGGUCCCUGAGGGGGGAGUCGGGAGGGGAGGGGGAGAAACAUCUCCCUGUGGCUGUCUGUCUGGCAGUGUGCUGUCUGGGGCAGGAAAGAGAACGGGUGUAAGGGGCUCAUUUGCGUGUCUCACAUUAGCGCCCUUCGGAUGAACUCUCCUUUCUGAAAUGUGUCUAGUUAAGUGUGGCCAUGCUUUGCCGCCUUUCGCUCUGUCCUGGAGGGCUGCUUCAGAGGCUGCUGGCUGGAACUCACGCUUGAUAACAGCAUCCUAACAGCCUUUCUGGCCAUCUUAUUUCUCUGGCAUAAACGAUUUUUAUUAGCUGUACGUGUAAACAUUACUGGGUGUCAAACAGUUCUCAACCAGCUUUAAUUCCAUCGAACGGUGGACUCAUCAGGGAAUCGGUAACUUGUGGUUGGUUCUCAAUUAUGUGGGCGGACUGGCUGAAGUUAAGGAAGAAAGGAAGAGAAGACGGAAUAGGGGGGAGAGAGGAGGGGAGGGGGAGGUGAGGAGGGAGCCAGAGAGGAAGGUCUGAGCUCCUAAAUCCAAAAUCUGCCAGGUAAUUAGAGACAUGCGUGAAACGGAUGUUUCAUUUACGGACUACCUGCAGACCAGGAAGCAAGCGUCCUAAUUAAAAGAGAAAAUGCAGCUUUCAAAUAAGCCAGGUACAUUGUGCUCCCUGCGCAUAUACGCUAAUAUUUUAUGGUUAAGGGCCAUAGCCAGAAUACAAACUCUAUCUGGACACUUCUGUUGAUAUUUUUGCUAUAAAUUUAGAAGCAUAGAACACACUAGGCUUUUUAUAAACGUCACAGCUUGUUAAGUCACUGGAAAGCUGGCAAACAUCCACAGCUUUUCCGUAUCUCAGUAAUAAUUCCCAGGCUGUUCUUCUGUGUAUUCCCUUCUCCUGCCAAAUGCCCCCACCAAACAAUUCAUCUAUCUCACAUUAACUUCAGCCGUGCUCCGAGCUACUUCAUCCAGAGCCUUAAAGGAAUGCAGUUAACCCUGCCAAGCAUUUCUGCAAGUUCCUGCCUUCCUUAUAGUUCAUCUCCUGCCUGCCAUAGCCUUUGAUUCCAGACAUUAACUGGCACAAGUCAGGAUGUAUUGGAACCGUCACCUACUUACCGCUAAUAGAUCUUCCCUGAAUAGUGUCCCUUUGGGGAGGCGUCCUGACCAUGCGGAAUUUUCCUCCGAUAGGUCACUGAGGAGUCUUCCUGACACUGAAGUUCAUUUGUCAUUUUCCCUUCUGGAAGAUUGCUCCCCGGGGUGAAUCGUGCCUUUGUACCAAUGAGUCAACCAGUCUGGAUCAGCCGUCCGUGUGACUCAGCUGCAUCUGAUUUGUAUGAAAGUGGCUCGGUUUUGUCACAUGUCUGCCAUGCCCGCAGAUUGCCGUCAACAGGGAGAAUUGCUAGAGAGGAUGUCUCGGUAGGAAAUCCUGUGACUUUUCACCAGGAACUCAUGGAAAACCACAGUAUCUUCUGCCUGCCUAGAAAAUAAUAAUAGUUACCUUUAAACCAGUAAAGCGCCUGUCUACAAUGCCAGAGACCCGGGUUCGAUCCCUGGGUUGAGAAGAUCCCCCGAAGAAGGAAAUGGCAAUCCACUCCAGGACUAUUGCCUGGAAAAUCCCAUGGACAGAGAAGUCUGGUAGGCUACAGUCCAUGGGGCCACAAAGAGUCGGAAACGACUGAGCUACUUCACUUUCACUUUCACCUUUAAACUUACAAUGUAAAAAUUUUUGUCAGGAAUUCUACUCACAAAGGAAUGUGAGCCGAUAGCUUUUUAUGUCAACCUGAGGAUCUCUGAGUGAGUCAUGGCCCCAGGAGGGUUCGGGAGACUCAGGUCUAAAUACCACCCUAAUUAACAUUGUUAGACAAAGAUUAAUUUGUUUGCUGUGGAUUCACAGGACACCUGAAACAUGAUUGCUCUUUAUGAAGCAAAAGAAAACUACAUUCCACUACGCCAUGUAGGUGAAAUGUUAAUUCUGGAGUUUAUAAGACCCGAUGAAGCUUAAACAAGCUACUAAUAUUUCACCAAAGAGAAGCUAAUACCAGGUUGAUGAAUAAGGCCAAUAGGAAAGCAUUUUCAAUUCUGCAUGACACACUCUUGUCCCUUGUACUAUAAAUAAGAGAGUUGGGGACAGUCACUGACAUUGUUGCAGGCUGGAAUUGUUUACCAUCUGAGGUCACUAAAGCUUAUUCUGGAUCACAGGUUAAUGACCCAACUUUUUUUUUCUAGAAGGAAUGAGCCGUGGGUGAGUGUAUGUGUUAACUAUGUCAGCAGCUAAUUCAGUUCCUCUGUUCACUAGGUCUGGGUCUAUUUUGAGCAAAUGAUAUCAAUAAAGUUGAUAGAAGGACCACAUGGAGUCAUCACCCGUGACGCCUGCACGUGAGCGGCCACUUGGGGUUUUCUAUACUAAGCAAAGAUUUUGUCUUUGGUAAUGAGAGAUGCAUAAAGACAAAAAGCAAGAGAAAGAAACCUAAAUACUAGGCACCAAUAACCUAGAAAGAGGCAAAGGAAGGCUUAUUCUUUGCUCAGUUACUAAGUUGUGUCCCACUCUUUGGACCCCCUGGACCGCAGCGUGCCAGGCCUCCCUGUUCUUCACAUCUCCCAGAAUAUGCUCAAACUCAUGUCCACCAAGUUGGCCAUCGAACCAUCUCAUCCUGUGUCUCCCCCUUCUUCUCCUGCUCUCAAUCUUUCCCAGCAUCAGGGUCUUUUCCAAUGAGUCGCUUCUUCCCAUCAAGUGGCCAAUGUAUUGGAGCUUCAGCAGGAAGGGUGGUGAGAGAAAAGCCACAGAGGGGUCUAAAUACAGAGAAAUCAGGUAAUAUCAUGGAAGGCCAUAAAAUGAAAGUCCGUUCAGUUCAGUCACUCAGUUGUGUCCGACCCUUUGCGACCCCAUGGACUGCAGCACGCCAGGCCUGUCUAUCACCAACUCCCAGAGCUUGCUCAAACUCUUGUCCAUCGAGUCAGUGAUGCCAUCCAACCAUCUCAUCCUCUGUCGUCCCCUUCUUCUCCUGCCUCCAAUCUUCCCCAGCAUCAGGGUCUUUUCCAGUGAGUCAGUUCUUCACAUCAGGUGGCCAAAGUAUUGAAGCUUCAACUUUAGCAUCAGCCCUUCUAAUAAAUAUUCAGGAUUGAUUUCCUUUAGGAUUGAUUGGUUUGAUCUCCUUGCCGUCCAAGGGACUCUCAAGAGUCUUCUCCAACACCACAGUUUAGAAGGAAAAAGCAUCAAUUUUUCAGCACUCAGCUUUCUUUAUAGUCCAGCUCUCACACCCAUACAUGACUACUGGAAAAACCAUAGCUUUGACUAGAUGGACCUUUGUUGGCAAAGUAAUGUCUCUGCUUUUUAAUAUGCUGUCUAGGUUGGUCAUAACUUUUCUUCCAAGGAGUAAGCGUCUUUUAAUUUCAUGGCUGCAGUCACCAUCUGUAGUGAUUUUGGAGCCCAGAAAAAUAAAGUCUGACACUGUUUCCACUGUUUUCCCAUUUUUU
rnacentral:lncRNA from 1 species